ACAGUCAUUCUUCCACACAUAGAGGACAAAUAAGCUCAAGAGGAGGAUCUAGAUGCUUUCAGUUUUAACUAUUCACCAAUGGUGGAAAAGGCAGAAUGCCUAAGCUAUGUCUUUGUGGCCAAUAGGAUAGCUCUGUAUCUCUCACAUGACUCACUGCCCCUGUCUUUCACAUGGGCUGUAAUUUAGUUCAAUUCAGAACUGCAGAUAGUACAGCUUCCACAGGAGCAAGGGAUGUCUGAGCACAAGUGGCUGAGUUCCGAGUGACUUUAUGAAGCACUUUCUACCUUCCUCUCCGGCAUGAAAACAGGGAUUCUGCACCUGCAUCAUGGACAGUCUGGCAAAAGCCUCUGCUCUGCCUCCGGGGACAAGAAACUAGAGCAAAUAACCGUUUUGAAAUUAGAUCCUGGCAAAAUUACCAACAAUCAAUGAUGGAAACUGAAGGGAGAUUGAUUUAAAUCUUCAAUGACAGUUGUACAGAAGUUGAAGAAACACGUCAUCUUUCCAAAGAAGAGUGAGUAGCUUGGUUGGUGGUACCCUAAAAUUAGGGCAUGAUUAAGGUACGUCAUUUCUUUUAGUUCAAUCAAAGUGCUUUGCUGUUUCCAUUUCAGAGAAUUUCUUAUUCGUUUUUUCAAUGUCUCUCUCUUCCUCUUCUUCCUCUCAUUAGUAGAUGUCUUUUAUAAUUGAUGUCAUUUACUGUCCUUUAAUCAAAUGUAUGCCACAUCACUUACGCGAACCAGCAGACCGGGCACCAAAAUACACAUUAGAGGAGACUGGCUUCCAUGAGACGCUUCGACUGUCUCAUCGGGGCACUUGUAAUAAGCAUCUUGGUGCCACUGAAUGCAAUGCUGUAUUCAAAUAAUAGCUUUCAUCUUCACUCUUUUUAAAUAUAAAAGUAAACCUUGAAGCCCUUUGAAGGACCUAACCAAACAACAUACCUAUGAAAAUAGAUCAGUAAGGCUUUGAGAAACAUUCUUAAGUAAAAUCUGUAAAGCAUCUUUGCAUUUUUUUUCAAGAAAGACCUCCAGGUAAAUGAUGGCUUUUAAUAAGACACAUGACAAUCUCAAUUACAAGAAUCAUUAGUGUGUGUCCUGUGCGCCAUUUUAUGUUCCCAGCAGGAUAUAUCUUUUCUCGUCUAGGGUUUCCAGGGCUGUCUACUGUUCUCUAUGUGUAAAACGUAUUUAAGUGUUCCCCCAAUGCUGCACUAAUGUUGAAACAAAACAGAACAAAAACGAAGAAACCUUUGUCAAGUGGUCAGACAGACUGGAACUAGAGGAUUAUAGGUAAGAGAGAUAAAAUGAAGGGUUGAAAGCUAUAAUUUCUAUUUAUGUGGUGGCAACCAAAUCAGCUGUUGGAGUCAGGCAAUUUAAAGAUGUGGCUACUGGAGCUCAGAGUCUGGGAAGAAGACACUUCUGCGUCUGACAGUGAAUCAGGCUCCCAGUUUUGAAGAUGUGCUGUAGGUAGUUCUCGCUGAAUCCAUUUCCCAGUUGGUUUCUAUUCCCUGCCCCAUUCCUGUGUCCCCACACUUUCCACUUGAUUUUACCUCUUUGACAAUUCUAUAUUUUACUUUCCUUCCUCUCAUUCCUCUUUUCCCACCCCCUUUUUUUACUGUAGUUCUUGGCCUCUGACUACUGUUCCAUGCUGGAUGUCCCCAGAAAAUAGAGUAUGUUUAGAAAGGAGACAGUGCAUCUCAGAAGGGCCUCCCCAGUCCACUAGUCCAUUUUUUAAUGUGUUGUGCUGUAUGGGUGUCAGGAAUAUUUGUAGAUGAAGUAAUUUGAGGCAUGAAUUUUGAUAGAAGCAGGAUCACCAACAAAAUGAUAAAUGUAGGUACCUGUCUACCUUGCAUAAUAUUCACUAUGAUCUUGAGAAUUUCAAUGUAUAAUUUGUCUUUAUUCUUAUUUUUCAUUAGAAUUAACAGAAUCUCAGAGCUGGUAGAAAGUAUAGAAACUGUAUAUACAACUCUCAUAUUCAGAUGAAGAAAAUGAUGCACAAAAAAUCAACUGUCCUAAGCCAUUCAGCUUGUCUAUAAGUGCUGUUGGCUUAAUUAUAGUUUUGCAUAUAUUUAGGCAAAGAAAACACUUUCUCAGAAACUGGUUAGGACUGUUUGAGAAGAAAUAUAAUCAUCAAAAUAUAUACACAGUAAAAUGUAACCGUCCAUCAUUCAACAUAGGCAAGAAUAUAUAUUGAAUUGCCUGAGUGUAUUAUUCGUAUAGCAAAACUUACUUGAAUUUCUAAUAAAUCUUCUGACCUCUGUAUAUGUAUAAAAUAUAUAAACCAACCAAAUUCUGUACAUAAAUAUAUUUUUGGAUACCAGUACAAUCCCUAUUUCACUUUUGUGUAUUCCAGUUAUUUAUUACUCACAGUUCUGUAGUUUUAACCAGAACAAAGGGAUUACCCAGAAGAAAAGAAGGUAAGCUAUUUCAUCAGUUUUGGUGGAAAUCAGAAGUUUUUUUUUCUAUUAUUAGCUUUGUAUUCUUAAAAAAGAAAAAAGAAGGAGAAAAAAAAAUCUCAUCUUCUCAUUUAUAAGAAUUCCCAUAAAAUUUGGCAGUGGUGAGGUGGGGAGGAAAUGCAUUACCAAUAAACAGCUAGAUCCUAUUAUUGGAGACAAUCAGUUUUAUUCUGCAGAAAAUAUAGUUUGUUCUUGAAGAUUUAAUAGAUAUAAUAUUUUUUAAACCAACAUAUUAAAUAUACCAGUAAAUAUUUUUGUUAAACAAGGCUUUUAAAAUUUAAAUUUUACCCCUAAACUGGCUUUCUAGUUUUUCUGGAGAAAUAAAGAAAUUUUAAAGGAAAUAUCCACUCAGAUUAAUACUGCAAAUAUCAUACAAAAAUGUGUGUGGUGAUAUUACUGAAAAUGAGGAUUUUUGAAAACUAGAAGAGCAAAUAGUCAUUGCUCCAAAAGGCUUCAAGACUGCCUUAGGAUUAACAAUGCAAGUCUUCAAUGUAUUUAGGUAAUCAUAAUUUGAUUAGCUUUCUAAACCUAAACAUAUUUUGAUUCAAAUGUUUAAAAUAUGGUCAUCUCUUCAGUUAAAGAUGAACAUUUUGAUGAAAUAACAAUACUUAAAGCGUUCUCCAUCUCCACAAUUAAGUGCUACCUGUUAUUUAUUCAGAGCAUAUGUUUCAGUCUCAAAACACCAAGGACACAUCUCAGUGAAAUAAAAAUAAUCACUUUUUUUAAGAAAUCAGAAUCAUGUGGCAGUCGGCAGGCUUAAUUUAUAUUUUAUGGUCUCCAAAUUCAGAUGAAUAUCAUCAAGAUCUGAAUUGUCUCAAUGGCUGUCAUAAUUUAAAUAAUAAUAUAUCAAAAAUAUACACUACUAUCAUAUAAUUAAUUUGUAUAUAUGGAAAAUUGAAUUCUCUUAGCCAAAAGAGUACAGGGAAAUCAUCACAAAGGAGGAUGAACAUGAUUAUUUUUUCCUGUUACUUCUAUAGACUUCUCUGUAACAACUGAUAUGAAGAUAUCAUCAGAGUUUGUAGGUGUGCAGUAUCUGUGGUGUUAAUAAAGGUAUCUAUAAUCAAAUAUAGCAGAAAUAAUUAGGCUUCACGCCAACUGCCUUUCCUAGAAUCUUCAGGGACAGGAAGUGCAGCUGUGUAUCACCUGCCCAUAUUCUACAAAUAGCACUGAAGGAUAUAACUCAAUGAAACUUGAAAUCAGAUUGCACAAAAAUACAUUAUUCCCAAUUUUCUAUUUUUAUAUUGCUAGAUAAAUUGUAAAUUCACAGCAACAUUUGUCUACUGUUAACUUUAUGUUGCAAAAUUACACUAAAUUUUGAGUGACAUCUUUAGCCAGGGGAGCCUAGAAACAUCCUUUGGCUAAAAAAUAAAAAGGUUAUAAUGUACAGUAGAGAAAACAUUUCUAGAAAAUAUGCCUUUCACUGUGCCUUUAAAAACCAAGAAUUUUUUAAAGGCACAGUGAAAGGUAUAUUUUGAUCAACAGCUUAUAUUGUUUAGAAAUUUGGCUGUGGUUUAGUAUUUUGUCAACUAAUUGUCAAUCACAAAGAAAA